GACGAACCGAGCGAACGUUGUUCGGAAUCACUGGGCUUAAAGGGCGCGUAGGCGGGUGCUCAAGUCUGUGGUGAAAUCCUCCGGCUCAACCGGAGAACUGCCAUGGAUACUGGGUGCCUCGAGGGUGGUAGGGGUAUGCGGAACUAUCGGUGGAGCGGUGAAAUGCGUUGAUAUCGAUAGGAACUCCGGUGGCGAAGGCGGCAUACUGGACCACUUCUGACGCUGAGGAGCGAAAGUGUGGGGGGCGAACAGG
rnacentral:rRNA from 1 species